rnacentral:rRNA from 1 species
UACGGAGGCAGCAGUGGGGAAUAUUGCACAAUGGGCGAAAGCCUGAUGCAGCUAUGCCGCGUGUAUGAAGAAGGCCUUAGGGUUGUAAAGUACUUUCAUCGGGGAGGAAAAACAAAACUAAUAAUUUUAUUUCUUGACGUUACCCGAAAAAGAAGCACCGGCUAACUCCGUGCCAGCAGCCGCGGUAAUACGGAGGGUGCUAGCGUUAAUCAGAAUUACUGGGCGUAAAGAGCACGUAGGUGGUUUUUUAAGUCAGAUGUGAAAUCCCUGGGCUUAACCUAGGAACUGCAUUUUGAAACUGAAAUACUAGAGUAUCGUAGAGGGAGGUAGAAUUCUAAGUGUAGCGGUGAAAUGCGUAGAUAUCUGGAGGAAUACCUGUGGCGAAAGCGGCCUCCUAAACGAAUACUGACACUGAGGUGCGAAAGCGUGGGGAGCAAACAGGGAUUAGAUACC